CUCCGCCGCAGAGAGAAGAGAGCGAAGAACUUUCCGUCACAUCGUCGCCCGCACUCCGCUCCACAGACACAACGGCCAAUAUCAUCCACUGCACGUGAGGUCUGCAAUCACGUGACAAAAAGGAGAAGCAGCAUGGUCGGAGCUUCCAAGGCGGGCUGCGUGACGUCACGCCCAAUCAGUCCUCUCAGCGCCGACCCGUAUUUCGCAGCCGUCGCAUGCCAACCAAUCAGCGUCCAGCAGCGAUUCGCGCACUAUGAGCCUGCGGUGGCGGAGGCUGCGGGUUCACGGACAACACCAUAUAGAUGGAUAGUCUUGCCACAGAAAGGGUUCCUGAUGGAAUAUACAGACACCCUGAGGCUUGAAUGAUCAGUGUAUAUAUUCUUCUAAAUACAGACUGUUCCUUCUUCACAUUCAUCGGACUCUUCAGCAUUACCAGAAGAAAGAAGUGUUAGUCUUGUGUCUUCCAUGCUGACUGCACCACAGCUGAGAGAGUUUCUGUCCUGCCACCAUGAGUGGUUCCAUAUCUGAUGUAAUUGUUCCCAUUCAGCAUACAGAGGAUGAGGAUCAACCCGACAGCAAUACACAAUAGAGAGCAUCUGCCAUGGAGGAGUCUGAAGGAAAAUGCUUGCAGCCAGAAUGUUUAGAUGGAGCAUCUUAUCUGUGGGAAAGGCAUUAGCUGCAUCUUCCUCCUAGUGCUGGACAUCUGAGUUUGGUUUAUAGUCCUUUGGAUGUAAAUUGGAGAGAGAAGUCCUUGUCAUUCCAUUGGAAGCGGAAGUCUCCAAGCUGCAAUAUCCUAUUCUACUUUUACUGCAGGUCAUGGCCUCUGAGCAGCAUCUGUCUGUCAGCCGCUGGGCCGCACGUGAUCAGCCGCCAUUCUAGUGCAGCCUUUCUGCGAGCUGGAAAUACACCGUGCUGACAUCAUUUUUUAUUUGGUGUCAAUAUGUUUACAGCAUGAGUGUGAGCUUGCUGUAUUUCAGACUGACCUCUGCGAGCUUCUGCUUUUGGUAUCCUGCCUGCAGUGCACUGAUAGCAGUACUGCUAAGCUACAUAAGUACAGGAACUUACAGUUUAAUUUUUACUUGUGCCUUUUAAACAAUGGUUAUGUAUUUUUUCUGCAGCAACAAAUGCAUUGCUAUGUCCCUCUGGUUUGUUCUGCAUUAUUCCCUCAUGCCUUUAUGACGGGUGGUAUUCAGUAUGCCGGCUGUUGGGAACCCGGCGCUCAGUAUACCGGCGCCGGUAUCCCGACACCAGGCAUACCGACAACUAUUCUCCCUCUUGGGGGUACACGAACCCCCUAGAGGGAGAAUAAAUAGCGUGUAGCGCGCCACUGUGCCCGCAGCAUGGGGCUCAUUUGCACUCGCCCAGCUGCCGGCAUGCUGGCGGUUUCGGGAUCCCGGCCGCCGUCAUAACAUACUACACCCUUUAUGGCAACCAAAUAUAGUGGGGCAGAUGUAUUAAGCCUGGAGAAGUGAUAAACCAGUGAUAAGUGCAAGGUGAUAACGCACCAGCCAAUCAGCUCCGAUAUGUAAAUUGCCAGCUAGGAGCCGACUGGCUGGUGCGUUAUUACCUUGCAUUCAUACAUAGAAACAUAGAAUUUGACGGCAGAUAAGAACCACUUGGCCCAUCUAGUCUGCCCCUUUUUUUUUAUCCUUUAGGUAAUCUCAACCCUUUUUGAACCUUAAUUCUUUGUAAGGAUAUUCAUAUGCCUAUCCCAAGCAUGUUUAAAUUGCUCUACAGUCUUAGCCUCUACCACCUCUGAUGGGAGACUAUUCCACUUAUCCACUACCCUUUCUGUGAAGUAAUUUUUCCUUAAAUUUCCCCUGAACCUCCCCCCCUCCAGUUUCAGUGUAUGUCCUCGAGUUCUAAUAUUUCUCUUCCUUUGAAGAAUGUUUCCCUCCUGAACUUUGUUAAGACCUUUGAUAUAUUUGAAAGUUUCUAUCAUGUCCCCCCUUUCCCUUCUCUCCUCCAAACUAUACAUGUUAAGAUCUUUUAGCCUUUCCGAGUACGUUUUGUGAUGUAGGCCAUGCACCAUUUUAGUUGCCCUUCUUUGUACACUCUCUAAUGUAUUUAUAUCCUUCUGGAGAUAUGGUCUCCAGAACUGGACACAGUAUUCCAGAUGGGGCCGCACCAAUGACCUAUACAGUGGCAUUAUCACUUCUUUUUUCCUACUACUGAUUCCUCUCCUUAUGCAACCAAGCAUCUGACUUGCCUUUCUCAUUGCUUUGUUGCAUUGCUUUCCUGCCUUCAAGUCACUUGAAAUAGUGACUCCUAAAUCCCUUUCCUCCUCAGUAGUUUCCAUUAUAGUACCCUUGAUACUAUAUUUAGCCUUUGGGUUUUUGAGACCCAAGUGCAUGAUUUUGCAUUUUUUAGCAUUAAACUGUAGUUGCCACGUUCUUGACCAUUUCUCAAGCCUACCUAGGUCAUCAAUCAUUUGUUUUACCCCUCCCGGUGUGUCUACCCUGUUGCAUAUCUUUGUAUCAUCUGCAAAAAGGCAUACCUUCCCUUCAAUACCAUCUGCAAUGUCACCAACAAAGAUAUUAAAGAGAACUGGACCAAGUACAGAUCCCUGGGGUACUCCACUGGUAACAUUUCCCUCCAUAGAGUGCACUCCAUUAACUACAACUGUCUGUUUCCUAUCCUGCAACCAGGUUCUUAUCCAUUUAACUGUUUUAUAAUCCACCCCCACGCUUUCAAGUUUAUUUAGCAGUCUGCGAUGUGGGACAGUGUCAAAUGCCUUACUAAAGUCUAGAUAUGCUACAUCUACAGCUCCCCCUUGAUCUAUUAUUU